CGGGUAAGGGUGAAACGGUGCGGUAAGAGCGCACCGCGUCUGCGGUAACGUAGAUGGCAUGGCAAGCCCCGUCAGGAGCAAGACCAAAUAGGAACGGCGCGCCGGAAGCAAUUCCGGCAGGGCAUUGCCGCACGGGACCGUUCGGGUAGGUUGCGUGAGCCGUCCAGCAAUGGCCGGCCAAGAGGAAUGAUCGUCACGAUCGCCGGUCUUCGGAGCGAUGGUCGUACAGAACCCGGCUUACAGGCCGUCUGAUCCA
rnacentral:RNase_P_RNA from 1 species